UACCAGCACCCCGAGUGGUCGGGACGAUUAUUGGGCCUAAAGCAUCCGUAGCCGGUUCUACAAGUCUUCCGUUAAAUCCACCUGCUUAACAGAUGGGCUGCGGAGGAUACUAUGGAGCUAGGAGGCGGGAGAGGCAAGCGGUACUUAGUGGGUAGGGGUAAAAUCCGUUGGUCCAUUGAAGACCACCAGUGGCGAAGGCGGCUUGCCAGAACGCACUCGACGGUGAGGGAUGAAAGCUGGGGGAGCAAACCGG
rnacentral:rRNA from 1 species